GCUGGGCAGAACAGCUGGUUCUUGUCAGCCAGCUUUGGUCAUCACUACGUUCGCUGACUCCACGUCCCCUGUGAGGGCUGGCUUCCCCAGGGUCACAUUCUCCCAGAGGAAAAAGGACUUUUCUCCCCGCCAUGUUCAUACAUAAGUCACAGGGAAGUUUUAUUGGAUUGCAACCAAUCCACGCAUAUGAGGAAAAUGGAGGUUCAGCGAGAUGAAGGGACUGGUCUAAGGUCUAAGCGCCGGAGGCCAGCCCAGACUAUCUGGCUCCAGACCUGCAUUCUUAGACACUCAACUGCUGUCAGAGAGGGGAAAUCUGGACACAGAUAUGCAUCGGAGAACUGCCUGGUGACCACGAAGAUGGCCACCUGCAAGCCAAGGAGAGAGAGCCCUCAGAAGCCACCAAUGCUGUUGACACCUUGAUCUCAAGCUCCAGAACUGUGAGAAAAUAAACUUCUGUCGUUAAAGCCA